GGGGGUAUAGCUCAGCUGGGAGAGCAGCAGACUGAAGUUGGAGUGUUAGGUCAUGCUACGAUAUCAUUCUGAAGGUCCCGCGUUCGAUCCGCGGUACCCCCA